AACAAAAAAAUUUUUGCAUAUCAAUAAGCGGAGGAAAAGAAACCAACAGGGAUUGCCUCAGUAACGGCGAGUGAAGCGGCAAAAGCUCAAAUUUGAAAUCCCCCCGGGGAGUUGUAAUUUGAAGAUUGCGUCUUGGAGGCGACCGUGUCUAUGUUCCUUGGAACAGGACGUCACAGAGGGUGAGAAUCCCGUGCGGCACGGCCCCCGGCUCCUUAUAAGGCGCUCUCGACGAGUCGAGUUGUUUGGGAAUGCAGCUCAAAGUGGGUGGUAAAUUCCAUCUAAAGCUAAAUACAGGCGAGAGACCGAUAGCGAACAAGUACAGUGAUGGAAAGAUGAAAAGCACUUUGAAAAGAGAGUGAAACAGCACGUGAAAUUGUUGAAAGGGAAGGGCAUGCCGUCAGAUUGUCAGUGUGGGUAAGAAGCGGGGUACAAAGACUGUGGAACGUGGCCCUCGGGUGUUAUAGCCGCAGUUCAUGCCCCGUCUCUUUCCGAGGCCUGCUUUGAGGACACCGACGUAAUGACGGUACGCCGCCCGUCUUGAAACACGGACCAAUAAAGUUUUUGGA
rnacentral:rRNA from 1 species